rnacentral:rRNA from 1 species
UUCUCAACGAUGGAUAUCUUGGUUCCCACAACGAUGAAGAACGCAGCGAAGUGCGAUAAGCAAUGCGAAUUGCAGAACCGUGAGUCAUCAGAUUUUUGAACGCAAUUGGCACUGGGUGGAAUCCCAUCCAGUAUGUUUGUUUCAGUGUCUUGUAAUCUCCUCACCCAUACCUUAAUGCGAGAGAUCCCCUUCUCUUGCAAAGUAUGAACGCACUCUGAGCUCUGCAG